GCAUCAAAUAUGCCCACGGAGCC
rnacentral:siRNA from 1 species